CCUUACCCCACCCUUGCCACUUCUACUCUUUCGCAGGAGGAGAGGCAUGGUAGGGAAAGAACUGUUGGGUGGGGGGCUUGUUUCUGUAAACUCCCUGCCCCCUCCACUGAGCUUUAAUCUGGAAGUGAGAAGUUAUUUGGAGGUGAGAAGAAAUUUGGGGUGAGAGAUGGUCUUGAGAGGAGGCCCAAAUGAAAAGGCGAAGGCAGUGGCUGAAAAGACUCCUGGCUAAGACUUGCAGGACGAUGCUAACUGUGAAAGACAUGGGCUGGCUAGGGUCUAAGGGAAAGGCUGAGAUCAGAGACUGAGUUCGUCAGGCACCAGAGAUGAGCCAGGGUUGUGAGUCCAAUCCCCUGCUGCAAGGCAAGUGGCUGUCCUCACUCCAGUGAGGGAGGGGGUGAGGGUGGGGGAGGAUACCGCUCUGUCUGCAGCCUAGGCUUUGUGGCCAAAAUGGGGACCCCCUGCGGUGCCCUUGUCAAGCGGUGGUCAAACCAUAAUCUCUUUUCACUGGGGCCAAACUGGAGCCCAGAUGGGUUAAUUUCCAGGGUCAGACCCCUUACAGUCCUCCUCCCGGACCCCCUCCCGCCUGUUUUUCCUUCCCUACUCCUUUCAAGUCUAGUAAAAUAAGCAUUUGGAAGGCGGGGGAGUCCUGUCUGCUAGAGUCCUAACGCAGAGAUGCCCGAGAAGGUUUCGGAGAGGAGGCCAAAGAGCCGAGUGGUAGAUACAGUCUGCUACUUUUUCAUUCUCUAGGAAAGGCGGGAGGCAGAACGAAGAAGAAUGUUUUAUUUGGUUUCAUACCCUGAAAAGAAGUGAUGACUUGAUGCUUUUCAAAACAGGAAUGCAUUCCCCCCCCCCCCCCCUGUCUUUGUUAUAAGAGACAAAGCGGGAAACAAAAGUGUCUCCCGGAGGAGAGGCCUAACUGUGAAGACAGUAGCUUUUACAGGCAGAGCUGCAGAAAUCGGAGGUUUCCCCUGGGUUGUUAAUUUGGUUGAGAUAAACAUUCCUUUUUAAGGAAAAGUGAAGGGCUGCUUUCCUAAGCGUCCGGCCACACGUUUUGACUUGGAUAAAGGAAACGCAAGUUUUGUUAUUUGUUUUAAACAGAUUUAAUUCAGAACAUAUGAUCUAAAAGACUCCGGUAAACUGCUUAAUGAAAUCUUCCUCCAUUCUACGCCCCCAUAACCCAAGUUUUGAUUUUCUGCCUUCUUUCUUCCGUCCAAUUUGGGAUUUUAGUUGUUUUGUUUUGUUUCUUUCCUCCAGACAGGGUCUCUCUGUGUAGCCCUGACCAUCCAGGAACUAGCUCUGUAGACAAGGCUGGCCUCGAACUCACAGAGAUCCACCUGCCUCUGCCUCUCAAUUGCUGGGAUUAAAGGCCUGGUCCACCAGGCCUGGCUUCCCUUCCCAAUUUGUAUCCUUCAAGACAAAAGAAGAGACACAAUGCUCACAUUAGUAAAGGCAAAAGGCAAACAUUUUAAUUUAAAGGUUUCAAAACAUUUUGCCCCCUUUUCCCUUGUAGUUCUAGAGAUUUCAACACGUAUGAGACACGUGCACUGACCUCUCUCUGGUAGCAUGCAGGAGUAAAGAAUGAUUCUGAAGCAAGAGGAGAGUUUGAACCAGGUUUCAAGAAUGUCAUUAAGGGAAGGUGAACUUCAAAGUGAUUCUAGAGUUCUUUGAAAUGUGCUAGAAGACUUACAUUUAUUAAUCUUAAAUCAUGUACUCUUUUUUUUUUUUUUCCCCUGCAAUAGAAGUCUGGUUCUUUGGCAUAAUGGUGUAAAGUUAAGCAGAGCAUCAUGGGAGUUAACCUUUACCCUACCUUUGACACUGACUGUCCUCCGAUUUUGCAAAGCUCUUCAGUUUCUCAGAGCAGUUUUUAAAUGCCAACCAGGGGGGUACUGUCAGGAGUACAAAUUACUUUCUAUAUGUCACGAUCAGUUGACUGGAGCUGCUCUUAUAGUUAAAGUGAUCUUGUAUUUCUUAAAACUUUCAAAGUGAUCUCACCUGUCAGGUUUUUUUUUUUUUUUUGAGCUGCCACUACACAGGUUUGGCAUCUUAUAUGUUUUAUCUCUUAAGUGCAUGUGAAAUUUGUAAAAUAGAGACAGUGCAGUAUGUAUAUUUUGUAAAUCUCCCAUUUUUGUAAGAAAAUAUAUAUUGUAUUUAUACAUUUUUACUUUGGAUUUUUGUUUUGUUCUACCUUUAAAGAUCUACAAUGGAGCCCCACUUUAUCACGUGUACAGAUCACAAAUAAAUUUUUUAAAAAAUACAAAA
rnacentral:lncRNA from 1 species